UGUGUGUGUGUGUGUGUGUGUGUGUGUGUGUGUGUGUGUGUGUGUGUAAACAAACAGAGAGCUUGACACACAGUGGACAAAACAGGUGCUUUAAAGAACAAUUGUACUGUUUACGGUAGCUGUUACUCAUCUUUAUACAGAUGUAAGAUCUUAAUCUGAGGCAGUUUGCAACAACAGAAAAAUAAUCCUGCAGCAACAGGAAAUGUGAAUUAUAAUUAUUAAAAUUAAUGAAUGUGUUUGUCGGGGUUGAUCCAUAUUUCGUUAGGGCAAAUCCAGUCUAAAAUUUCAGUGGGAUUUUUUUUCAUUCAGCAACAAAAGAUUGCCCAAAUGAAGAUCCUACAUGUGUACGUGGAUUGACUGUCAAACAGAGAGAAAGAGAGAGGAAAAGAGAGGGGGAAGAGAGAGAGAGAAGAAAAAUGGCGAAGAAGUGGGAUGAGUGGGAGCCUGUCUGAUGCAAAAAUGAACACAUUUAUAGCUGACAAGUUUGCUAAAAGGCUUCCAUCAAAGUGAGUGAUUUCCUCAUAAUCUUUCCUCUCUCUUCACAUGCCAGAAAAUCUGGAGCUCCUGCUGUUCUACUCUUCUCUUUCCAGUGACUGCUGACCCUCAAGGCUCCCCACUGAUGGCGCAAAGGUACUGGAGGGGUAACCGAUGGAGCAAUGCAACAAAUUUGGCAGUUAACCCAGCACCAACCGCUGCCAUGUUUGAACGGUUGCCCGAGUGACCAGGAGGCCCACACGGUGAGGUUUGGGCUUUCCGUUUUUCACACCCGUGGCACCAAGGGAGGAAAAGCAGAUUGGGACAGGAGGUGUUGGUUACAGUGGAACCGGAGACCUAGAGAACACAACACAAUAAAACAUGAUGGGGAGAGGUGUUUCCAACUCUUAAAAGGAGGAUCCAAGAUUGGAUAGCCUGUCCAUCAUUUCAUCCAGCAUGGUAUCCUAUCUCUACUCUCUGUGCUGUGAACCUUAUCCAGAGUACUGGGAUUAUUUCAACUCAUCCAAAUUGUUUAGUUUUGCCAUGAAAUAACACAUAGGGAAAGGGGUGUCUUGAAAUUGUAUGUAUGAAGCUGAAAAAGCAAGGCUUAGUUUGUGAUAUGCAGAAGACAUGGUGAAUCUAUUGGCACAGAUAAGGCAUAUAGUACAUAAACCUAUUAGUCCACACACACACACACACACACACACCUGCUCCCAGGCCCCUCAGCCGCUGCCAUUGUAAAAGUACAUGAUUUCUAGCUGCAGCCCUCUUAAGAGUCCUUCAGUUUAAAAAAAUAAAAAAAUAAAACAAGCCUAAUGCUUGUGAGUCAUUUUGAAAUCACCAUUUUAUAAUUUAUUUAUCUUUUUAUUGACAGCAGAAAAUUUGUGUCAUGUCAACUAGCCCCAGGGACCACUGUGAAAGUGGAGAGCAGAAAAUGUGGCUUGAGUUAGCCAGGCGGAUUAGCACUGAGUGCCUGACGAGGAAAACUACAAUGCAUCACUUGAAGGUUUACGUUUUUUCUAAAAUGUUUUCAUGUUUUUUUGCGGUUGUGCUUCAUUAGGAUGACCAACGAAACAUUCUGGGAUUUUACAUUGUGUGGCAUGACAGCUCUAAGACUCAUUCUGUGGUAAAUGUUCAGCAACAUGCUGAUUUUGACUGUGAUUUACAGGUAAUGUGACUAAACCAUGAUGUUAAGGGCUUCUCAGCACACUUCAGCUCAGGUUGCAAAGUGCCCCCUAACCGCAGAUUUAAAAUCAGAUGUAUGCAAUGUCAUCAAAAGUCUAAAUAUUUAGUACGCAUGGAAAGGGGGAAUUUGUGCAAGUUUAGAGCACCACCAUUAGGUAAAUGAUCUGAGAAUUUGUUAUUGUUUUGGGAACAGUAAUUGGUGACAUGUUUUAUCUAAAGCCUUUCAAAUCUCUUAUUCCUCAACAUGGGGACAAUUGGGGGUACUCCAACCCUCCAAAUAAAAAAUACAUUUUAAAAACGGUA